rnacentral:rRNA from 1 species
UACGUAGGGGGCAAGCGUUGUCCGGAUUUAUUGGGCGUAAAGAGCGUGUAGGCGGCUUCACAGGUCCGCUGUGAAAACUCGAGGCUCAACCUCGAGCUGUCGGUGGAAACCGUGUGGCUAGAGUCCGGAAGAGGAGAGUGGAAUUCCCGGUGUAGCGGUGAAAUGCGCAGAUAUCGGGAAGAACACCCGUGGCGAAGGCGGCUCUCUGGGACGGUACUGACGCUGAGACGCGAAAAGCGUGGGGAGCGAACGAGG